rnacentral:rRNA from 1 species
UACGGGGGGAGCAAGCGUUGUUCGGAUUUACUGGGCGUAAAGGGCGCGUAGGCGGCCAGCACAAGUCAGUUGUGAAAUCUCCGAGCUUAACUCGGAAAGGUCAACUGAUACUGUGCGGCUAGAGUGCAGAAGGGGCAACUGGAAUUCUUGGUGUAGCGGUGAAAUGCGUAGAUAUCAAGAGGAACACCUGCGGCGGAAGGCGGGUUGCUGGGCUGACACUGACUGAAGCGCGAAAGCCAGGGGAGCGAACGGGG